CGGGGUGAGUAACGCGUGAGUAACCUGCCUUUCAGAGGGGGAGUAACGUUCUGAAAAGAAACGCUAAUACCGCAUAAGAUUGUAGUUUCGCAUGGAGCAGCAAUCAAAGGAGCAAUCCGCUGAAAGAUGGACUCGCGUCCGAUUAGAUAGUUGGCGGGGUAACGGCCCACCAAGUCGACGAUCGGUAGCCGGACUGAGAGGUUGAUCGGCCACAUUGGGACUGAGACACGGCCCAG
rnacentral:rRNA from 1 species